CCCUUAGAGUUUGAUCCUGGCUCAGGAUGAACGCUAGCUACAGGCUUAACACAUGCAAGUCGAGGGGCAGCAUUUCAGUUUGCUUGCAAACUGGAGAUGGCGACCGGCGCACGGGUGAGUAACACGUAUCCAACCUGCCGAUAACUCGGGGAUAGCCUUUCGAAAGAAAGAUUAAUACCCGAUGGUAUAAUCAGACCGCAUGGUCUUGUUAUUAAAGAAUUUCGGUUAUCGAUGGGGAUGCGUUCCAUUAGGCAGUUGGUGAGGUAACGGCUCACCAAACCUUCGAUGGAUAGGGGUUCUGAGAGGAAGGUCCCCCACAUUGGAACUGAGACACGGUCCAAACUCCUACGGGAGGCAGCAGUGAGGAAUAUUGGUCAAUGGGCGCAGGCCUGAACCAGCCAAGUAGCGUGAAGGAUGACUGCCCUAUGGGUUGUAAACUUCUUUUAUAUGGGAAUAAAGUUUCCAC
rnacentral:rRNA from 1 species